UUUAAGUGUAGCGGUGGGUUUCUGCAUCUAACAUUUCUCCAUCCAUCUUAUUUGAAUUUUUUUAUGAUUAGUAUUUUUAUUGUUAUUAGAUUAUAAAAUAUGAAUAAUACUUUAUGUGCGACUUUUUUUUAUAAACUUUUCAAAUAAAGCGGAUGGUCAAACGUUCCACACGGAAACACACGACUACACUUAAA
rfam:Oryza sativa Japonica Group DNA, chromosome 9, cultivar: Nipponbare, complete sequence.